AGCAGCCGCGGUAAUUCCAGCUCCAAUAGCGUAUAUUAAAGUUGUUGCAGUUAAAAAGCUCGUAGUUGAAUUUCGGGAUCAAUAUAUCGGUCAUGCUUAGGUAUGUACUGGUAUUAUUGAUUUCUCCCUUCUGAAGAACCAUGAUGUCAUUAAUUUGAUGUCGUGGGGAAUCAGGACUGUUACUUUGAAAAAAUUAGAGUGUUUAAAGCAGGCAUACGCUUGAAUACAUUAGCAUGGAAUAAUGAAAUAGGACGUUUGAUUCUAUUUUGUUGGUUUCUAGGAUCGACGUUAAUGAUUAAUAGGGAUAGUUGGGGGCAUUAGUAUUCAAUUGUCAGAGGUGAAAUUCUUGGAUUUAUUGAAGACUAACUACUGCGAAAGCAUUUGCCAAGGAUGUUUUCAUUAAUCAAGAACGAAAGUUAAGGGGAUCGAAGACGAUCAGAUACCGUCGUACGUCUUAACCUAUAAACUAUGCCGACUAGGGAUCGGAUGAUGUUAAUUUUUUAAUGUACUCU
rnacentral:rRNA from 1 species